GUCUUUAAGAUAAAAAUUUAAAGUCUAGCCUGCCCUAUGAAAAAUUUUAAAUGGCCGCAGUAUUUUAACUGUGCAAAGGUAGCAUAAUCAUUAGUUUUUUAAUUGAAAGCUUGUAUGAAAGGUUGGACGAGAUAAUGACUGUCUAUAAUUAAAUAAUUUAAUUUAAUUUUUAAGUUAAAAAGCUUAAAUAUAAUUAAAAGACGAGAAGACCCUAUAGAUCUUUAUUAAAAUUGUAUUUUAUUUUUUUAAAGAAUAUUAAAAUAUAAAAUUUAAUUUUAAUUUAAUUGGGGUAAUUAAAAGAUUUAAUAAAUUCUUUAAUUUAUAAACAUAAAUUAAUGGUUAAAGUAUCCAUUUUUAAUGAAUUAAGAUUAAGUUACCUUAGGGAUAACAGCGUAAUUUUUUUAGAGAGUUCAUAUCGAUAAAAAAGUUUGCGACCUCGAUGUUGGAUUAAAAGUAAUUUUAGGUGAAGAAGUUUAAAAUUUUAGUCUGUUCGACUAUUAAAUUUUU
rnacentral:rRNA from 1 species